UCGACGAGUGCGCCGAAAAUAUCCACAAUUGUAGCAAGGACAACGCCACUUGUUCUAAUAGCAAGGGAACGUUCAACUGCUCAUGUAAUCCUGGUUUCAGAGGUGAUGGAUAUAACUGCACAGACAUUGACGAGUGUUCUCAAAACAUUCACAACUGCAGCAACAUAACCGCCACUUGCUCUAAUACCGUGGGAGCAUUCAAGUGUGUUUGUAAACCAGGAUUUAUUGGUGACGGACACAACUGCAUAGACAUAGACGAGUGUCUUCAAAACCACAAUUGUAGUGAGAACGCCAACUGUUCAAAUACCAAGGGAUCUCACAACUGCUCUUGCUAUCCUGGAUUCAGCGGGAAUGGAAAUGAAU